GCAGCUAUGGAAGGCGGGAAGAAUCUGCAAGUCUUCUGGACGAGCCGUACUGGCACUGCUCCUCCCACACUUUCCCCACAUUCACCGCAGAUCAUUUGUUGCCUGCUCUGUAAUUUGUACUCAACCAGAAGCAGGACGCGAUUCCGACGAUUCUGAUUGAUUUCACAAGUAAAAUUUCCCUGCCGGAGAGUUCUUGCCGACGGUCAUCUUCUAUAGAAGAUCGUUGCUCUCAUUUUCACUAGGAGUUGCGAUGCCGGUGGCCAAUUUAUGGUCUAUAAUAUAUGGACAUCGAACAUAUACGAUGUUCCUCCGCGGAAGGAGCGGCCAUUUUUUUUAGCUUUUAUCUCAUAGAUUUCCGAAGAACUUUGGAUUCGACGGCCAGCGCAACUCAAAAUUCGAGUUCGGUUUUGGAACUACGGUGCGUUCUGCAGCAAGCGCGACUGCGAGAAUUCCAGAUGCUAAAAGUAUUGGAUUACGCUCCCAUGUUGACAUUUAUAUGGUGUGGUAGAGACUUGAUACUUAGAAACAGCAAACUCAUGGGGCAUUGGCUGGAUGCCUUUUACAUCUGGAAACAACCAGCUGCAUAAUUGAUGUUUCUGGCACAGUUUCUUGAUGACAAUUUUAACGGGUAGAACGACUUGGCUGACCGGUGAAGUAGCCACUAAAAUGGAAGUUCGAAGAGUCAAUAGUCAAGAGUCGAGACCCAAACUGGAG